UUUAUUUUUUGUAUUGAUUCAUAUUAUUAAUUUAUUUAUGUCUCAAAUGCUGUCAUUUUUCCUGUUUUCCCCCACAGAUUCCCUUAACCCAAUCACCAUCCUUUUCUGAUUUCUUCUUUCAAAGAGUCAAAACAACAGGAGUUAUAAGGCAUGUUCAGUCCCUGAAUAGCUGUUCAUAUGGCCAUGCAUUUGAAAAUCUACAACAUUGAUAAUGCAGACAUCAGGAAAUAUCAUUCAAAAAUGAUCUUCAAAUAUUAAAUAAUCUCCACUUAUCAGCUAACAACUAUCAGCUUUACAAAACAGGAAGAAUCCAAGAGGAAGAUAAAAUUGAUCAGAUAAGAAGGAAAUCAGAGAGCAACCUUCCUGGAUUCAACACAAGAGAGCCUCAGUUCCUGUAGUGUAUUCGACAGCAGUCUAGCAUGGCUUCCCUCUGUGAGAUUCCACUAAGCUGCUGACUCAGACAGAAGCAGGCAUCAUCUAGUCAAACCACGGUGGAGCUUGGGGACUCUGAUGGAAGAAGAGAAUGAAAAGGAUUAUGGCCUCUAAGGAUAUAGGCACUCCACAGGCUUUGUCUUCAUGCAGAUUCCCUUAACCCAAUCACCAUCCUUUUCUGAUUUCUUCUUUCAAAGAGUCAAAACAACAGGAGUUAUAAGGCAUGUUCAGUCCCUGAAUAGCUGUUCAUAUGGCCAUGCAUUUGAAAAUCUACAACAUUGAUAAUGCAGACAUCAGGAAAUAUCAUUCAAAAAUGAUCUUCAAAUAUUAAAUAAUCUCCACUUAUCAGCUAACAACUAUCAGCUUUACAAAACAGGAAGAAUCCAAGAGGAAAAAUAUCCUUGUAAUACAGCAGUCUAGCAUGGCUUCCCUCUGUGAGAUUCCACUAAGCUGCUGACUCAGACAGAAGCAGGCAUCAUCUAGUCAAACCACGGUGGAGCUUGGGGACUCUGAUGGAAGAAGAGAAUGAAAAGGAUUAUGGCCUCUAAGGAUAUAGGCACUCCACAGGCUUUGUCUUCAUGCAGGUACCGAACAGCUAGUAUUGGGCCUUCCCAAAACAUGCUGUCUGUAGAUGGGAUAUUUGUUUUUAAAAUUCAUUUAUUUAUUUACUCACUUUACAUCCC